AGGUAGCUGUAGAGUGUGAUAAGGUCACCCCUGAGCCUCCUCCAGGCUGAACAAUCCCAGCUCCCUCAGCCGCUCCUCGUAAGACUUGUUCUCCAGACCCCUCACCAGCUUCAUUGCCCUUCUGGACACAAUGAAAGACAGUUACUUUCUAAAGCAAGGUCUGGUGCAUAAUGGACUACCAUUGGAUGUCAGCUUGAGAAACACUGCUGUGACUUUACAUUGAAGAAGGCAUCGAAGGUGGCUGGUUUGUGAAUGGCACAGUACCAUCAUUGCAUAUUAGGCUCGCAGCGAUGAAAACAAUUAUCCUGUUUGGCUUCUGGAAAUACCCUGCCUUUAGCCUUAUUAUGCACCUGAGAUGGGUGAAACUGUCUCAACUAUAAUUAUAUUACAGAAGACCUAGGGCCUGAUCCUGCAACUGUUAAGCAUCCUGCAACAGCUAUUUGUCAGUGAUAAAGAAGAACAAAUAACACCG